rnacentral:rRNA from 1 species
UACGUAGGGUGCGAGCGUUGCCCGGAUUUAUUGGGCGUAAAGGGCGCGUAGGCGGCCACGCACGUCCGUUGUGAAUCGCCCGGCUCAACUGGGCGGGGUCAGCGGAUACGGUGUGGGCUCGAGCAAGCUAGGGGGCAAUGGGAAUUCCCGGUGUGAGUGGUGGAAUGCGUAGAUAGUCGGGAGGAACACCAGUGGCGAAGGCGGUUGCCUGGAGCUUUGCUGACGCUGAUGCGCGAAAGCGUGGGGAGCGAGUCCGG